rnacentral:rRNA from 1 species
GGAUUCCCCUAGUAACGGCGAGUGAAGAGGGAAGAGCUCAAAUUUGAAAUCUGGCGGCCUACGGUCGUCCGAGUUGUAAUCUAGAGAAGUGUUUUCCGUGCUGGACCGUGUACAAGUCCUUUGGAACAAGGCGUCAUAGAGGGUGAGAAUCCCGUCUACGACACGGACUACCAGUGCUAUGUGAUACACUCUCAACGAGUCGAGUUGUUUGGGAAUGCAGCUCAAAAUGGGUGGUAAAUUCCAUCUAAAGCUAAAUACAGGCGAAAGACCGAUAGCGAACAAGUACCGUGAGGGAAAGAUGAAAAGCACUUUGGAAAGAGAGUUAAACAGUACGUGAAAUUGUUGAAAGGGAAACGCUUGAAGUCAGUCGCGUCUUCAGAAAUUCAGCCAGGC